rnacentral:rRNA from 1 species
UACGGAGGGUGCAAGCGUUAUCCGGAUUCACUGGGUUUAAAGGGUGCGUAGGUGGGCAGGUAAGUCAGUGGUGAAAUCUCCGGGCUUAACCCGGAAACUGCCAUUGAUACUAUCUGUCUUGAAUACCGUGGAGGUGAGCGGAAUAUGUCAUGUAGCGGUGAAAUGCUUAGAUAUGACAUAGAACACCAAUUGCGAAGGCAGCUCACUACACGAAUAUUGACACUGAGGCACGAAAGCGUGGGGAGCGAUCCGG